GUUAAGUGCUUAGAGGAGAUGCCCAUGAGAAACACUGAGGAGGUAUGGAACUCGGGCAAUAGGGAAUCCUUGCACCAUAAUGAUACUAGAGCUCUUGAUAUAUAAGACUACAUGGGAGGUGAAAUAGGAGCUGUUCCAGGAACAAGGCUCUUCAUGAAAUAGGGUGUAAUACGAUACCUCAAAAGAAUUCAUUCUGUGAUCAAAACACCAAGGAAAAAGAAUGCUGUGCUAAGGCAUUUCCAAAAGGACCAGGAUUUAAACUUUUCUGGAGGUAAAUGCAAGUGUUGGGGAAGUUGGGACAAUUAUCCAAGAAUCUGAUUAUUGAUAUUUGCUGGCUGUCAGAGAAACUGUUUUAACCCCUGAGAGUAGAGAGGUGAGCUUAUUCAAAGCCUGACUAGCACCUCGUACUUUUAAGGCAAGUAGGGUAUAUCUAACAAGUA